GGGCUUACAGUCCCUCUAGUCCACCACCUACAGACACUCCUGAGUUAUGCACCACUUGUAAAAUAUUCUUUCAAAAUCUAAAGUACCCCAAGGGUUAUGCAUACAUCCAUUUGAGAACCACUGCUACAAAUUACUAAGAGACGCGUUAAUUGGCUCAAUUCUUCGAGAGGAAACACCAAACAGAAUAUAUCCUUUAAUUGCCUCUUCUGUAUAGUUCUCGAUAAAUAUUUGAUCAAGCAAAAUAAACUGCUUAAUUAUGGAAAGAACAGGACAGUCAACAAAAGCGUGAAUACUAUUUUAAAAUUCGUUUACAGUCUUUGCAAGGACCUGAAAACUUUAUCAGCUUUACCGUUAUUAAGAAUUGAGAAGAUUUAUCAAGGUUGAGAGCAGAUUUAAAAUGAACAAGUAUUUCCUAAGCUUCUUUGGAAAGAUAAAUUCUGGAGCUAGUGGAAGAUGAUAUACAGCAAUUCUUAGGAAAGGAAAGACGAAUUUACCUUUAUAUCAAUAUAAAGUUGGGUUUUAGGUCAUGGAGAGUAAGGACGUUUUCGUCUGUAGCGAUUUUUCAAGCUUCAAUCAUAAGCAUAAUGUCAUCUGCGUAUAAACCAACCAAGUUGCAUAUAUCACCAAAACGAACCCCUAACCCCUUGUACAUAUUUACGAUUCAAGUAAUGGUUUAAAUGCUCAAUCGCAGUUACAAAGGGAAGAGAGGGGGUGGGAGGUUAAUUUCGUCCAGUUCGAGAAAAAUUAAUUUGGCCAACAUUUAUUUGAGACGUCAUUAUUAAACGUCAUACCUCAUCACACACCAGUUUAGUGUUCAAAAUCAAAUUAAGAAGUCUGGAAGGAGCAACUUCGACUCUUAUCGGAUUUCGUCUCAACUCUUUUUUAUCAAGCUUGAACGACUUACCAAAUGCUCAAAUUUGAAGAAAAUGAUUCAAUCCUAGAUCACUUGUGUCUUGAAAUGAUACAUUUUUUAAUAAAGUUAGAAAGUUAUUAUUAACAAGAAUCGGAUUCAAUAUUAUAUAAGACGUCAAAGUAUAAUUCUAUCGUCUUCAUCAAAAUCCCAAAAAAAGACAAUUCAAAUUGUUGAAAUGUAUAAUUGUGAUGGAUAUUGCCGAAGUUUGAUUAAAAAUUAAGUAAAAUUCAUAUGAAAGAUAAACUUAUGUUAAUUUUAAAUCAUGUCUUCCAAAAUGUAAGUUAUAAUUUUUACACCUUUCCAAUUCUGUAAAAUAUAACGCGUGCAUAAAAGGUAGCUUCAUUUUUUUAAGUGCAUUUAUUCUGAAAUGCAUUGGACCUACAAUUUCAAUAUUACAUACUUUUCUUAUGAAGAAUUCUAGCAUAUUUUGAAUAUAAUAUUAUGCAUGUAAAAAGAAAAAAUAAAUAUAACAAUUAAAUUUUUUUUUAACAAUAAUUGUCAUAUAUAAUUUUAAUUCCUUGUCAACUUGGCUCUCUUAUGAAGGCUGGUAUUUGGAUGAAUUUUCGUCUCCGUUCAUGGUAUAUGAAGUUCCGAUUAAGAGCAUCUUUUGGGAUGGAUGAUCAAUUUCGAAGUAUCUCUCUUUUAUUCCCUCGGUCUGCCUUUCUUGUUCCUAACUCUUGGAGAACAUAUAAGUCUACUUCUUCCUGUCUGAAUGAAUGAAGAAUGAUCUUAGGCCUUAACAAUUCUCAAAUUAAGAAUACAUUUAAAUUUCAAAUUGCUGUAUAUUUUAGUUAUAUCUUAAAAUUGUUGUAGUACCUAAUUAACAUAUCUUUAUUUUAUAUUUUACAUCCAGAACAUUUUAUCUGAAUGUGAAUGUAAAUUGAACCCGUCAUAGUCUCAACCCUUGAAUGUAUUCCUUGUUAUAUAUGGACGGAUAGAUUCCUACAUUUCCUUGGUUUGCUUCUCUUCCUUGGAUAAUUUUCAUUCGGUCAUCCUCCCUUUGGAUAUCAGAAUUAUAGCAACUCUUGCUUAAGAUAAAUAUCUUGAAGAAACGUAUGACAUUGACUAAUUCAACAUAUCUACAUCGCUUGACAAAUUGGAAAUAAAUACGGCCUGCCUUUUUGUAAUGUAUUAGUGUUUUCUUACC
rnacentral:lncRNA from 1 species